CCGUAGGUGAACCUGCGGAAGGAUCAUUAUUGAAAUAAACCUGAUGAGUUGCUGCUGGUUCUCUAGGGAGCAUGUGCACACUUGUCGUCUUUAUAUCUCCACCUGUGCACCUUUUGUAGUCCUGGAUAUCUCUCUGAAUGCCUAGCAUUCAGGUUUGAGGAUUGACUUUCUGGUCUCUCCUUACAUUUCCAGGCCUAUGUUUCUUCAUAUACCCCAAUGUAUGUUUAGUGAAUGUAAUAAAUGGGCCUUUGUGCCUAUAAACCUUAUACAACUUUCAGCAACGGAUCUCUUGGCUCUCGCAUCGAUGAAGAACGCAGCGAAAUGCGAUAAGUAAUGUGAAUUGCAGAAUUCAGUGAAUCAUCGAAUCUUUGAACGCACCUUGCGCUCCUUGGUAUUCCGAGGAGCAUGCCUGUUUGAGUGUCAUUAAUAUAUCAACCUCUUCAGCUUUUGCUUGAUGAGUGUUGGAUGUGGGGGGUUUAUUUUGCUGGCCUUUCUAAGGUCAGCUCCCCUGAAAUGCAUUAGCGGAACAUUUUGUUGACCGUUCAUUGGUGUGAUAACUAUCUACGCUAUUGACGUGAAGCAAGUUCAGCUUCUAAUGGUCUAUUCAAUUGGACAAAUUUUCAUUAAUGUGUGACCUCAAAUCAGGUAGGACU
rnacentral:rRNA from 2 species